UGCAACUCGCCUACACGAAGCUGGAAUCGCUAGUAAUCGCGGAUCAGCACGCCGCGGUGAAUACGUUCCCGGGCCUUGUACACACCGCCCGUCACACCAUGAGAGUCUGUAACACCCAAAGCCGGUGGGAUAACCUUUAUAGGAGUCAGCCGUCUAAGGUAGGACAGAUGAUUAGGGUGAAGUCGUAACAAGGUACC
rnacentral:rRNA from 1 species